rnacentral:rRNA from 1 species
AACGAACGCUGGCGGCGUGGAUAAGACAUGCAAGUCGAACGGGAUCAAGUUUGUAGCAAUACAAAUUUGGUCCAGUGGCAAACGGGUGCGUAACACGUGAGCAAUCUGCCGGGAAGUGGGGGAUAGCUCGCCGAAAGGCGAAUUAAUACCGCAUGUGGCCAGGAAGGACAUCCUUCCACAGCCAAAGUCGCAAAGACGCUUCCUGAUGAGCUCGCGGCCUAUCAGCUAGUUGGUGAGGUAACGGCUCACCAAGGCGAUGACGGGUAGCUGGUCUGAGAGGACGACCAGCCACACUGGAACUGAGACACGGUCCAGACACCUACGGGUGGCAGCAGUCGAGAAUUUUUC